rnacentral:lncRNA from 1 species
UUCAGUCCAUCAGAAACCCUAGAAAGUCAACUAUGGUCAACUGUGGUCAACUGUGCUUGAUUUUAUGGAUUUGAAGGUGGGAGAUGGUUUGAAAGGCUUCAUUCAUGUCCAUACAAGUCUCAUUUGACAUUUCAAAGAUCAAGAUUGGAGAAAAUAAAGUCAGACAAGAAGUUUCCUAAAAUAGCAGGUGACUUGUAAUUGGAAAUUGCCAAAAAUGGAAAGUUUUG